rnacentral:lncRNA from 1 species
AUUGUAAAGGAAAUCUCCAUCUGUAAAGGUCCCUCCCUCUCUGUACCAGGAAGAAGAGGGGGAUGACUUUAUCUCUAGAAACUCUUAAUCAAUACCAAAGGCAAGGACUUAAAUCUGUAUAAUAAUCUUAUUCCUGUUUCCGGUAACCUCCUGUAACUGACUCCUCCCACCCCCAACAUCCUUUGUCUCUAGCGGAUAUGAUAUUUAAGGUGAGGGCUUCAGCCAUUUUGGCAAGUUGCUCAGCUUGCCUGAGCCUCUCCCAUAUAUACAUGUUAUAAAGCUUUGUUUAAUUUUUUCCUGCUAUUCUGUCUCAUGUGAAUUUAAUUCGUUCUCCGGCCAGAAGAACCCACAGCGGGUAGAGGAAAUGUCUUCCUCCCCUACAAUACCAUGCAUCGUUGACUGAAGUGUCAUUAGGCGGCACAUGACUGUAGAAGGUGAAUUUAAUUCGUUCUCCGGCCAGACGAACCCACUUUGGAUAGAGGAAAUGUCUUCCUCCCCUACACUUCCAAGAAGCAUUUCUUGUCCCCUUUCCCAACCUACUUCUGAUGCUGGCUCGGUGAGUCGAGGAGUGGAAGGAAAGAUUUCUUGGACUCUCAAGUUCUGGCUGUAGUGA